GGGGGCCAGGGGGGGGGGGGCGCCAAACCAGAAAACCCUGUUCUGGCCUGUUCGAGAACAUGAAAGCUACACCCGCGGUGCGUGACACUUUAUAAGCUCAUUGUUGUCUGAAGUUCUCUCAGAAUCCGCGUGCUGCCCAGUAAGCACUCGGCCCGUAUGUUACAUUUGACUCCACGGUGCAGAAGUCUCUCUCAUUUACAGUACCAGGUACUGUAGGCAUUUCUCUCUGAUAUAGCAGCAAUAAAAGCUAGAAAAAUAGUUUUAAACUGCUGGAAAGGCAGCUAACAUCUACUCAAUUCUCCUUAUUAGCGUAGUCCUUAUAAAGUGUACUGGACAUUAAGGAUAAAGUUAACAUGUACCGCUUUUAACUUUUAUAGAGAUGUUAUUUGUUUUUUUUAUUGGCGAGGAUUAUUAAUCAAUCAGUGCAUUAAGCUAUCGAGUCGUGUUCCCAGAGAGGAUUUUUUUGGUCCGAUGUGAGUUUUUUGAUUGUAGCGUGAUCAAUCUGUGGAAUGUCAGACUGAUUACGGUCCGGGAUCUGAAAUCCCACUAACAAACCGUUAAGCCGAGUCUGCCGGUUUCAAGUGCACUUGCGUUAGUGGAAGCCGAGAAAUCAAGUCCUUUUGCUCUUAUGGCAGUUCCAUAACAAGUUUUGGAACCAUCAAAAAGCCAAACAAUGUAUAGAAAAUAGUGAAAGAAAGUUAGUGAGUUGCUACUAUGAUUUCCUCUUUGAUCUCUGGAUUUGGUGAUUGUUAAUCCACCAGUUCUUCACACCAUGUAUUCACGUAACCGGAUUGUGUUGGUCCAAAAAACCUUAACUUGGCUCGAGCAACAUUGGUGCUUUUUUGUUGUUGUUGUUGUUGAUUCUACCCAAAAGUAGAGCACUUCUGCAUGUAGCACUUGGCAAUAACCGUCACCUCUCUGUCUGUUAGCAUUAUGGAUAUGUUAGGUUUCAUAAUAAACAAAAAACCAGGCUUAGCAAUGUAGAAACCCGCUGAACGCAGACAGACAGGCGGGCGUGUUGAUCUGUCUGAACCGGUGCUGUCUUUGUGUCUGAGCCUUGCCGGGCUGCUUCUACUGACCUACAUCCAGACCCGUGUUCCCUAAUCAUCAUCCAAUGUUCUCUCUCUUCUCUACUGUGUAUCUGGUUGAACACAGGUGUCUUUUUUUUUUUUGUAAUACCAGAUAUACUAUUUUCCUAUUUGCAAAAAAUAAAAAAAGCCAAAAAUGAAAAUGCUUCGCUUUGCUGUCAUUUGAUUUGAUGCUUCCUGAAGACAACAGUUACCGUGGUUACCGGAGCAGAAUAAGCUAAUUGUCAAUUAACCUAUAUACUUGUUUUGGGAAAACCGAAUUAUUUUGCACAAUUAAAUGAGUAAACCGUGGGUCUGAAUGCAUUUCAUGUGCCAAGUUUCUGUCUGAUUGUCGCAGAGUAAUGAAUUGUGGGUAAUCAGGCAAUGUCCACAGAAAUACAAGCUGGAUUCAAAUUGUCAAACUUGCCACGCAAGUAGUCUAAGCGGCCGCCAUGAUAUGUUUGAAUUCUCUAAUGCGAAGGAAAGGAGCUGCAACGCUUCCUUAAUUAGCUCCCUUAGCAUAGAAACCACUAGACCAUCCUUUACCAAAGGAAAGGAGAUAAUUCCGUCCCACGAUUCCUUGCGGCGGCAAUAUUUAAAUAGUGACGCAUCAUUCAGCCUCACGAGAAACGCAGAUCAUGUGAGUAGCAUUACUCCUUUAUGUUGCAGCCUUGUUAAUAAAGUAAUUGUUUAAACCUGGUUGUUUGUCAUCUGCAUGACUGAUGCCUUCGUUCAAGUAAAUUCAUUUUUCAUUGUAUAGCCCAAAAUCGCAAAAUACAAAUUUG
ensembl:lncRNA